UGAUCAGGACAGUGAUGAACCAAAUUGAGCCAGGCUGACUCUUUUCUUCUUGUGUUUCCUUUGAAGGUCUCCCAUCAGUUCACUUUCUGGCUUGCCAAGCAAACGUAAAGAUCCUCCAAGGCUCUGUCUUCAAUCUGACCCUGUUCUCUGUUACCACCCCAUGGGAGAGAAUAGAAAGGAUGGUCAAAGGGAAGCUGAGGGACUAUUGUUCUAAAAUCAUCAGUAAGAGUGGACCACAAGACUGAAAGACAGACUGGGGAUGAGCCACAGUGGGGACAAGUAAUGAAAGUUACUUCCAUCCAGAUCUCAGCCCUAAGGGCAUUGCCAUGGGCACGUCACAGAGCCUUUGACACCACAUCAUUGAUGACUGAGUUCAUACCCCUCAGCUACAUCCUUGGGGGGAUAGUCCCUGGAGAGAGCUCUGGCCAUCUGUGCCUUGGAGGGAGCUAUAUGACCCAGGGGAUGACCGAGGAAGGACACAUGGUGGAGCGGUGAGUUCCUUGCCCAAACUGGGAUCUUGGGACUGCAGGAAAAAUGAGCUGGUAG
rnacentral:lncRNA from 1 species